rnacentral:tRNA from 1 species
GGAAGUGUGGCUGAGCGGUUUAAGGCAGCGGUCUAGAAAACCGAUGGGUCGAAAGGCUCCGAGGGUUCGAAUCCUUCCACUUCCGCCA